rnacentral:misc_RNA from 1 species
UCGGCAGCGGGGGGUUCAUAGUGGUCGUCGACCUCCACGAAACUGCACGCUCCGGCGUGACAGCGUACUGGGGAUGCCUGUGUAGAUGCAGUCCGGGCUUGCCUGGACCGCUAGCAGAUGGGCUCUGUGGAUGACUGGCCGCUGGCUAGACCUGAAACCUGAGCAACGGGAGGUAACCUCUCGCCGCGGACACCGGAAUGGUAGAAGCGGCGUGCUGCGUCCUCCUCUUGGGGCCCCUAAGCCACACCUCCCAUAGCGGGUUCGGUGCGGCGGACGGACGCCCUGGGGAAUUUAGAGGGGGAAAGCGGAUUGCCCUAGCGGUGUUGUUGGCCCUGCCGACCUCACUGCGAAAGGCGCGACUU